ensembl:lncRNA
AUGAAAUUUCAGAACAGAUGGGAAAACCUUGAUGAAACAGCGAGACAGGACUACACCACGCUCACCCUAGCGUCCGAUAACAUCGCCCUCGCCAAAACCCACGGCAGCCAUUGUGCUUCUUACCUAACCUUGAUCUAUUAUCCAGACCAGGGCAAAACUGUGCUCACAUCAGAGAGUAGGCUCAAAAGAGUGGCGAUGAUCAUGGACUUCAGGAGGAACCCCCCUGCAGUCCCCCCACUCACCAUCAUAAACAGCAGUGUGGCUACAGUGGAGUCAUUCAAAUUCCUGGGCACCACCAUCUCUCAGGACCUGAAGUGGGACAAUCACAUUGACUCCAUUGUUAAAAAGGCCCAGCAGAGGUUGUAUUUCCCUCACCAGCUGCUGAUACAGUUCUAUUCUGCAGUGAUUGAAUCCGUCCUCUGCACUUCAAUAACUGUCUGAUUCAGCUCAGCUACCAAAUCAGACCUCAGAAUAUUGCAGCGGAUAGUCCAGACUGCUGAGUGAAUUACUGGUACAUCCCUCCCCACUCUCCAAGAACUGCACUCAUCCAGAGUGAGUAAUAGAGCUGGCAAAAUCACUCUUGACCCCUCACACCCUGGCCACUUCCUCUUUGAACUGUUGCUGUCUAGUCGGAUACAGAGCAUUGAGCACCAGAACAGCCAGACAUAAGAACAGAUCCUUUCCUCAGGCAAUCCGUCUCAUGAACAGUUAACUUGGCAAUAAACGUGUAAUAAACAACAAUACUUGUACAUUUAUUUAUUUAAAAACACCAAACUUCUUAUUCAUGUUUCCUUGAAUUUGUACAUUUCAUACUUGCAUAUUUCAUACAUAUUUUCUAUUUGUAUAUUGUGCAUUUUUUUUAAAUAUUUGUUGUAUAUUAUUAUUUCCUAUUCUAUUUUUAUGAUCUGUGUCUUGUCACUGUAAUCUGUUUGUGCUGUGGAAGCUUCUGUUGCCAAACAAAUUCCUUGUAUGUGUAAACGUACCUGACAAUAAAGCUCUUUCUGAUUCAAAAAAAAAAAAAAAAAAAAAAGAGCUUUUGGAAGAUCUUGAGACGUUUCCAGUGAUGGACAUGGUCUCCUGAUCAUUAUCUUGAAGAGCAGUGGGGAGAAAUCGAAUCUCAUGAACAACCUGGAACCAGAGUGGAGAGAAUGGCAUGUGUCACGGAGGCGUUUUCUGUGUGGUGAGAUAUGAGCUACAUCUGUUCUUAGCACUGUUUCUAAAAACAAACAUAUGGUUGUGAAAUCUUAUCCAUAUGCUACAGGUUUUCUUUUCUCACAAACACUAAUUAAAGCUCUUGCUUUUCCUCCUCACUGCUGUUCUCUGCAAACAUCACGCAGGUGUUAGAUGCCCUGGAAGGUUUCGCUUCGGGUCCUCAUCCUCCUCCUGCUCUCUUGAAAUCCUGGAGGGCAUGAAGUGUGUGUGGCUGUGGUCUAUUGCAUUGAUUUUAUCAGGUGUGUAUCAGUUGUCUGCAUCAGUAGGUCUGAAUUAUACUGACAUGAUUCACUUGAGUGAUCUUCAUCUGCUGUCAUCUGAACAUCUGUGUACUGCGUGACACUGAAAAAUGUGUGUGUAUUGCAUUUUGUGUGUGGCUUUAAUGCUCACUUGGGUGGCAUUUAUUUGAUCUGUUUUUUUUUUGUUGUUUUUUUUGAAAACUGAACAAUUAUAAAAAUUUUGAAUGACUGUUUUCUGUUUGAAUAUAUUUAAAAAUGUGUUUUAUAUUUUUAAAAUCUGAUUUAUUCCAAACUUUUGAUUGGUAGUGUACAAUUAAAUAAAUUCUGUUUCCUGUUGUUCCCAUUCAAAUUCUAAUUGAACUUCCCAUGAGGAGUGGCCAAUUUAAAUUCACACUUUUCCAACAUUCAAAGGGGCCAGUUGCACUGUUCACAUUUUCCCCAGAAAAUGUAAAAAUGUAGUUACAGUAAGUCUUGGUUAUGGCCAUAUUAUUGAAUUGCUGUGCUUAAUAAAGCUAUGAUGAAAUCAUAUUCCUCAACACACACUGCUUUUCAUUUCACCAUCUCACCCCAUGGCUGACACUCUAGGCAUUUCCCUUGUAUUUUUCUUUAAUAAUUCAUCACACCCCAUAACAAAUGCUAAAUUCACUUCUGUUCUGGGGGGGUUAAAAAUUGCUUGUGAUGCGCUCUGUUUGUGCUAUAUAUCCUAAACAUCUGCUCUAUUCCAUCUCACGCUAAUCAAACCUUUUGUUUCUCCCACAGGAAGUCCGCGCCUGUCAGGGACUUUGCCUCGUCAAAUUAGGCCUUUUGACAUAACGUCCACAUUAAAGCCGGCGUGUGGAAUAAACACAUCGUCAUCAUUCAGUGUGAGCUGUUACCUUCAGCAUGGAACGUUACCAGCAAUCAAUCUGCGGCAAAUUCAGAGCGAUGUACAAUCUCCAGAAACCACAGAGUCUUUUUGAUUCAUGUCCGCUGUGCACAGCAGAAGUACAUCUUUGUUUUAUUCAUAAUCACCUGAGCUUCCUGAUCAAAGACUCCCACAGUACCUCCGUCCACCCACUGAGUGUUCCUCUGUGAUUAAACGGGACCGCCUGCCCGUCACGCACCAUCCAGAACCCGCCAUAAUCUUUUCAUCAGGUGCUUCCUUCAUUUCAGUCUUCGUUAGUCGUCCUUGUGGGAAUUCUGCCUCUCUUUCUUCCCCCUCUUUUUCCUUCCAGGAUGAAAUGAAUGGGAAAUAAUAAAGCUUACAUACUGCUUUGAUGCUUCUACCUGAAUAAAUUCUCAUUUCCCACGGUCUCAGCACAUCGGUGGCUCACGGUGUUCCACAUCUCUGCUGACAUGAAAAAGGGAGCUGGCAAGGUUGGUGGCAUCUUCUGGUAUAAAGUAAGAUGUGACAGCUUAUCCGAGUUGAUAUUGAGACAGUUAUCCGAGUCCGUUUUGACAUCUUUCAUCAUUCAGGUUUAUUUCUACUUUCUUUUCACCACAUCCAUUGUUCUGUAGACUUAUGUGUCUUUCAUGCUACAGUGCUUUGUAGAAAACCUUCGAGCACAAGACAUUUUUUUUUUUUUUUAUAACUUCUAGGCUGUUGUUUAAAAUAUUUUAAGAGAUCAUUUAGAUCAUGUUGCUAUGCGGUUGCUAGGGUGUUCUGAAUGGUCUCCAUAAAAGUGCACAAGUGCCCACUUUUUCAGCAGCGUAGGUUCCUGAAGUAUUUUUCCAUUAAUUGUAAAAGUCUUUGCUAAAGCAUUUGAAGCCAUGAACCAAGUCAACUAGCUUUUUUGUAGUCUUUAACGUUUUCAUUAGUAACUGUAAUUCAAUUGAAUUUAACAGAUUACAGUUACAUUUAUUUUGUUAUUAAAUUAUGUAUAGCCAUUACAUGUGACUAGUCACUCUCCAACACUGCAAAU